UUGGGAUUCCAUUCCAUUGUUUAUAGUUUGAAGAGGUCAGUUCAACUACAACUAAUCAUGAUCAGUCAUCUGCUGCCAUCCUAUCUUCAGUCAGAAGUGCCAAGCAGACUUUGGAGAAAGGGCCAUUAGCCGAUUGGGUAAAAGUUGUCAAUUUGGAAGAGAAGUGUGACAGGUUCAGUAUGGGUUAUUCUCCAUCAGUUUGCAAAGCAAGCCCGAAGAAGAAACAGUUUAACCCGG
rnacentral:lncRNA from 1 species